rfam:Gossypium raimondii chromosome 13, whole genome shotgun sequence.
AAUCUAUGCAUCGGGCAUUUCUCAAUUAACUCAUUAAAUCGUUCUAAAGCUUCAUAUAGUAUCUCGUCCUCCAUCUGCCAAAAAGACGUAAUAUCAUUUCUCAACUU